CCUACGGGAGGCAGCAGUGGGGAAUUUUGGACAAUGGGCGAAAGCCUGAUCCAGCAAUGCCGCGUGUGGGAAGAAGGCCUUCGGGUUGUAAACCACUUUUGUACGGAACGAAACGGUUCGCUUUAAUACAGUGGGCUAAUGACGGUACCGUAAGAAUAAGCACCGGCUAACUACGUGCCAGCAGCCGCGGUAAUACGUAGGGUGCGAGCGUUAAUCGGAAUUACUGGGCGUAAAGCGUGCGCAGGCGGUUAUAUAAGACAGUUGUGAAAUCCCCGGGCUCAACCUGGGAAUUGCAUCUGUGACUGUAUAGCUAGAGUACGGUAGAGGGGGAUGGAAUUCCGCGUGUAGCAGUGAAAUGCGUAGAUAUGCGGAGGAACACCGAUGGCGAAGGCAAUCCCCUGGACCUGUACUGACGCUCAUGCACGAAAGCGUGGGGAGCAAACAGGAUUAGAUACCCUGGUAGUCCACGCCCUAAACGAUGUCAACUGGUUGUUGGGUGCAUUAGUACUCAGUAACGAAGCUAACGCGUGAAGUUGACCGCCUGGGGAGGUACGGCCGCGAGGUAAGUAACGUUAAAGUUAAGUUAGUAGGCGUUGAGACGNGCCGACGGACGACGACGAGGGAGGAGG
rnacentral:rRNA from 1 species